GGAAAUAUCACCAUCAAGCGUAUUAUGUCACAAAAUUUAACUGAUUUUAGACUAAUCUUCUGUGUCGUACAUGAAAAGUAAUAGCACAUUAGCAAAAACUCGUAAGUAGCAUGCAGGCUUUGUAAUCUUGUCUUUAUGUACAUCAGAAAACCUUCAAGAGAAAGAAGGUAUCAAGGAAAAAACCUUCAACAGAAUGAAGGAAACAUGAAAAAGAUUGCCACCAAUUCUACACUAGACCUUCAGCAAUGAUCAGCGCUAGCAAACUGCUUACUCAUUAUAUACCACGGCCUUCAGCAAGAAGUGAAAGGCAACCCAGUAAAAAAUCAAAAAAUGAAGAGCCCUAUGCUAAAAAUACUGAAGUUCAAAACUCUAAAAAUGAUAUAUCAUCAGAAGAUGAGUAAUCUCAAUGUGCACAAGCUAUCACCAGUAGAUGAUCAAUCUCACAGCACAGGUGUGUCGUCAAGGGCCUCCUUCCUAUUCCACUGACUGACCUGCCAUUUUUUUUUUUUGGCUGUAAAAGUCAGAACUAUCAUCAGAAGAUGAUUAGUUACCGCAUUGACAUAAGAGUAUGGACUUUUUUCUCUCUCUCUGCCUUCUUAGCACUAGCUGUUCUCUUCAGUUUCCGCAAUUCCUCCAUCACUUCUUUCUCAACUGUGUCAAUUGAGUUCAAGAGCUUCUUUUGAGGCGUAAGAAAAUCUGAAUCUUCAGAGGAUUGAUUAGUAAUAUGAAGCAAAAUUUUUGGAAUUUUGCCGACUGUAGGAGGACAUCGCUUCACUUGAAGACUUGGAAUUGGAGACAUGAUAGUGUUACUGUGCUCGAGAUGAGCAACUGAUGAUGGUUCAGAUAAGUCAAGAACUCCAUAAGCGUGCGGCACUGGGCUCUCAAUUUCUUGGGCCCUGUCUGCUCCCAAACGUUCCCUUCUUUCAAUUGCCUGGUCAAAAAGUUCCAGAAUAAGAUUAGUAGUAUAAGGAACAGAAUUGUAAAUGCCCCUUGACAAUACGUACCCCACCAAUAAAAGACUCUGGAUAGAAUGAGCCAUGACUCAUGAGGGCUAAUGAAGUCUCACAAAAUUGAGAACUUGCAUUGGCACUCGACAAACAGCUCAUUUGGCUUGGGUGACUGACUUGAGCAUCAGACUUGCUUCAAAAAAAGCAUCAAAGUCCAGCAGUACUCGUGCUCACUUUAGAAAGCAUAACAUACAUGCGGAAUAGAUUUGAUAAAAAAAUAACAGAACAGAUAAAUCAUCUAAAGCUUAUCAUUUCCCUUCAAGAAAGGCAUUACAGCCAUUGCUAUAUUAUCUUCAAUCUAAUUAGAAUAAGUUCAAAUACAUGGCUCAAAUAGCUACCAAAAACAUAAUAGCAAGCUACCAUAUCAAAAAUUAUGUAAGCUAAAAUAAGAAAAAAAAAAUAUAUAAACAAAUUUACAAACAGCAGAAAAAAAAUAAAACAAUGGUUAGAGUGAUAUGAAAAUGUAAGAGUGCCUUGAAAGUGUUUAAAUAAUUUAACUCAAGUUAAGGCUAGCCUCUCUAUUGGACAAUAAGAAAAUGUUUUUUUAUUGUCAAAACCAAGAUAGUUUCAAUUAGAGAAAUCAUACGUCAUAACUAUCAAACAUCACCGAUACAAUUCUGCAGAUUAUCUGCAAAUGGCUGGAAUCGAUAUCUAAAUUAUAACAUGCUGGAAAUUAGCUUCCCUUACAUGCAAAGUUUUUACUUUAGCAUUAGAUACAAAGACAAGCAGAAUAUCAAGAUCAAAAUGGUAGAACAAGCACAGAAAGGAAGACCUUAAACGGAAAGAUUAUAUGUCAGUUUGUCAAUGAAGAAUAAUGAUCAAUUCAAUCUAAUAACAAAGUCGAACGAUGUCAGAUUUUCCCAGUGAGGUUUGUCAAUCUCUCAGAUCAAGGCCACACUCCAAUUGAAAAAAAAAACUUGAUUUGCAAAAUUUUUAUGAUUGGUACCUGAGUAUGUAAGGAUCCAAAACAUAGAUAUGACACGAGCAAAAGGUAUUACUUAAAACUCCAACACAAACAGGAUCACAGUCUAGCACACUCAUCUAGCAAAGUCAAUAAAGGUUAAAUUCAACACUAAAUCAGGAUGAACCUAGGCAAUAAUCACAAUCAAGAAGAACUGUAAAAAAAUAUUAGGUAGAUUCAUAAUUAAAUACGAGCUGGAAGUUAAUCAACAAUCUUAAAUACUUAAACACAAACGAAAGAAAUCCCCCUGAAACUAUUCAACAUCCCACAGGUUCCACAGUGUAUCUAGAGUUUCAAAACAAAGUCAAAAUAACAUUAUGAAUCCCAAAACUAAACUAAGAAUGCAAAUCAAAUGGAAGAUAUGCUAUAGAUAAUAAUCAGAGUAGAAGCAGAACAUAUAACCCUAAUAAAGUCAUAACUACUAAAGAUUCAUUAUCUAAGCUUGCAAUUUAUAUCAGAUAUACUUCAUCCAAAACACCAAACUAGCAAAUUAAGCCUAAAAAGUACCAAAGACCAUUUAAUGCAAAAUAAUCAAGACGAAAAAAACUAAGACAACUCAAAAGAUAGAAGGUGAGCUUUACCCUGACAAUUGCAGUGAUAUCUCGAAGAGGGGUUCUCGGGUACCAAGAAGGUAACGCACUGUUCGAGGCACGACCCCUUCCCCUGCUAUUUCCCCGCCUUCCACUUCCAAUUGGCGUGUUCUCUCUGCCUAUUGCCGGCGUUCUGUAAAUAUUCCGGCCACGCCCAAUCUGGCCUCUUGGAGUGCCCAAACCGCCCCUUCCAUGGCCAAUAGGACUCAUACCAACUGCUCCAGUACGGGUAGCUACCAUUGGUGGACGAACCGGAGACCCAAACAGGGCUCUUUCGAGGUCAGGUUGGUCUUCAUAAAAUCCAAGAAUCCCUGACCUUCUACGGGCAAAUAAGGCAGCGAUGUCAAUGGCCCUCGACAAUCUGUCUCUGGAUUCCGGCAUUUCUAAUCCUUUCAACUUAGAGAAUGAUAAAAGAAUAUUAGAUAAACCGGUGAAGAAUCACAAUCUUGAAAAAUUCAAUGUUCAUAAUUAUAUAAGGAAAACAACCCGAGAAUCAUUCUUAAAAGAAAAUUAAAAUUCAAUGGUCAUCACGGAAACCAUCCCAAUUUUCUCUGAAAAAGAAGUUACUCCAGCAAACCAAAUGACAUACGCAUCAAACUUAGAAAUCUUCCAGGAAAAUGUGAGGAUCCUCUUUCUCUGUUUAGACCCAGAAGUUGUUUCAUCAGGAAAAUGAGAAAACCCCAAUGAUCCAGAAAAGAAAACAAAGGAAAUCUAGUUUCCAGCUAACUAAAUGCCACUAAUAAAUCUACAACAAAAACAGAUUUAGAGGAAUGAAGAUCGAAGAACAAAGAAGAACAAGAGAAGGGUGCGAUAAUUACCUAGAAAAAAAUUGGUUCUUGAUUAGCAGCAGAGGGUGAAAGAUGGAGUCUUUUCACUGCAAUGAUAAAAGGAAGAAGAAGAGAAGAGGUUUUGGGAGCAGCCAGAAAAAUGGGCCU
rnacentral:misc_RNA from 1 species